rnacentral:lncRNA from 1 species
CUUAUAGCGAUGAGUGUGACUUAUGUAAUCAGUUAGCUAAUCCCUAAUAAGUUGAGACUCACUUCUAGCCUCGAUUAUCACUAGUUAUGGCAUGAAGAGAACCUUUAUGAUUUAUGUUCAACCUUUAGAGUUAGACUCGCAUCGGGUCAUAACGCUUUGUUUAAUGAUGAUAUAGUAUUGUGACUAGAACUUUCAGCUUGCAAUUCCUGAUAUACGGAACCUUUUACAUUACCUAUUACAUUACACGAGACAUGGUUGAGAACCCUUAUUGAUUAUGAUCACGUGCUACGAAUCCGAAAGACGAGAUGUGACAUGGAUACUAGCAGUUACCAACCAUUAUGAUUGAUAAAAGAAAAAUCUAUGCAAAUGCAUAAAAUGGGAUAAAUUCCCAAGGAUGGUUGCAAGUUUAAUAAGAGCUUGAAAUGUCGACAACGGUUCGACGAUGGGGUUAAGGGAUUGAGAUUCUAAUGAAACCCUAAGAGUAUACUCAAGUUAAGUAUACAUACCUUACUCUAUCAAAGACAUCGCCCCAAUUACAACAUCUCGGGUUAGACGAUCAACAUAGUGACCAGAAUGAAGG